rnacentral:lncRNA from 1 species
GAUACCAUUUACCUAGCAAUCGUAAGGAUUGAAAAUCAAUAAUUUUUAACGGCUAAAAAUAAAAAUUUUAUAAAAAGUGGUGAUAUAGCACUAAAAUUUUCGAUCAGAAAUAUUGAUCUUGUUGUAGAUAGUAUAAAGAAUCUUGUAUCAAAAUUUUAUCUGGUUUGAAUACUUCUACACCGUUAAACUUAAAAACGACAGAUAUCAACCAUUAAAAAUUAUUGAUUUCGAAUCCUUUCGAUCACUAGGUAAAUGAUAUCGAAAAAUCACAAAAAUUAUUUUCUAGAAACUUCAAAUACCCUAGAUCAAGUCUAACAGAGCCGAUCGUCAAUUCGAAAAUGGCUCAGGCCUCCAUGCUCCUGAGAGCACAGCAGCCCUACUCUAUAUAUAUA